UUCUGAAAAAAUGGUUCGAUUCAGAAAUGCAAAAAACAAAAAAAAUUGAUGAGGUUAAAAACAAAGAAGAAACUGGCAUGCUUGUACAUGCCGACACUUUAGGUCCCGAAUUUAAAUGGCAGAUCUUUCAAAAGAAAUUGGAAAUGGCCCAACCACAGGAAAACAGCCCAGCAAAGACUGAGAGUGUAGGGGAAAGGCUGUGGGGAGUGGACAGGGUCCUCAAGGGCCCAGGGGGCAUCAUCAAAACACAUGUCAAAGAAUUGAUGUGUCAGAGAAAACAGAAUGCUCAGCCACCUAUGGAGAACACUGACAAGGAAGAGCUCAGGAGGCCGUCCCCAAGAAAGCUAGAGCAGCUUCAAUGAUGCAGAGGCCCAGGAAGUCAGUGGGAAGCUCCUCCCGCCUUCAUUUACAAAUGAACAUAAGGCAGCAGUCUGUUCUUCCCUGCCUUCUGCUUCCACCCCUCCUAAAUCUGACGUUAAACACAAAGCAAAAGACUUAUCCUACACUGUUUUAGUAGAUGCAGAUGCUACAGUUAGAAAUAUGGAGAUUUCUAAGCCAACGUCACGUCCCCCCCCCAAAAAAAACUUCUUCCUUGAUACUCGCUCUCGUGUGAUCCACAAUUAUUCAAGGCCAAAAGGAAUCACAACUUGAGAGGGAAAGGGCUACUCAGGGGAGUAUCUCCAAGCAGGCCUUCAUCCUCUGCAGUGAGAAGCCUCAUAAAUUCUCCUUCACGAGGAGCUAUUUCAACUUCAGGAGAACUGACUUCUCAGGAAAAUCCUUCUCCAGAAUUAUUUUCUCCUUCAGACCCUACUACGGGAAAGGUGACUGCCGGAAGGAGCUAUCUCUGAAGUCACUGUCGGUACGGAUGUUCCCAGCACAUAUUCUGUUACUGCAGGCAACUUUGUGCCAACUGUUCAACACACCCACGAAACACAAUGGGAAUACCACAACGUGGGCACCGAAUUACCCCCUAAACCCACCGGCUUCACUUUCCCAGGGCUUUCAUCCUUGGGUGAUCAGUUUGAAAUUCAGGUAACCCAGCAACUAUGGUCCUCCAUCCCCAAAGAUGACAUGAGAAGCCUCAUUUCCCAUGUGAUCUGGACUUUUAAAAUGGUCUGCUCUGAGACCUAUAUGAAGCUAGCCUGUGCCAAGCUCUUCUCCAGAACAGGCCUCCUGGUAAAGCUUCUCAGUGAUCAC